GCCAGCAUGGCAUAGUGGUUUGAGUGUAGGACUAUGACUCUGGAAACCAGGGCUCAAUUCCCUGCUAGGUCA
rnacentral:tRNA from 1 species